rnacentral:rRNA from 1 species
CCUACGGGGGGCAGCAGUGGGGAAUAUUGGACAAUGGGGGCAACCCUGAUCCAGCCAUGCCGCGUGUGUGAAGAAGGCCCUCGGGUUGUAAAGCACUUUCAGUGAGGAAGAACGCCUGGUGGUUAAUACCCAUCAGGAAAGACAUCACUCACAGAAGAAGCACCGGCUAACUCCGUGCCAGCAGCCGCGGUAAUACGGAGGGUGCGAGCGUUAAUCGGAAUUACUGGGCGUAAAGCGCGCGUAGGUGGCUUGAUAAGCCGGUUGUGAAAGCCCCGGGCUCAACCUGGGAACGGCAUCCGGAACUGUCAAGCUAGAGUGCAGGAGAGGAAGGUAGAAUUCCCGGUGUAGCGGUGAAAUGCGUAGAGAUCGGGAGGAAUACCAGUGGCGAAGGCGACCUUCUGGACUGACACUGACACUGAGGUGCGAAAGCGUGGGUAGCAAACAGGAUUAGAUACCCGGGUAGUC